rnacentral:lncRNA from 1 species
UUCCAGGCUAGGGGUUGAAUUGAAGCUACACCUGCUGGCCUUACACUACAGCCACAACAAUGUGGGAUCCAAGCUGCAUCUGCGCCCUACACCACAGCUCACGGCAACGGUGGAACCUUAAACCACUGAUCGAAACUGCACCCUCAUGGAUCCCAGUCUGGUUCGUUAACCGCUAAGGCAUGAAGGGAACUCCCACUUUACAGCUCUUAAAAUGCUUUCACAGACAUUAUUUCUUUUGGUCCUCCAUCCUCUGAGGUGGGCAGAACAUUCCCUGGGCUCACAGUGCAUGUGGGACUGAUGCUCAGUGCUGAUGUGUUCAAGACUGAAACCACCCACCUUGGCCAGGCACGGUAGUCGUCACUUGCACGACUUGUCUCACAACCGGAGGCCCUGAUAAGGAACGGAGUGCUGCCCUGAAGACUAAACUGGAGGAUUUGGGAAGGGGACAGUAAGAGGGAGGAGACCACCAACCUCCCAGGAUCCUUGGCUGAGAGAUACACAGGCCACCAAGAAGGACCCUGGGCCAGACCAAGUAUGGGCCGAGCAAGAUGACGGGCCAGAGACAAUCCAGAAACGAACCCCAUUCCCAUAAAACCUGAGGCUGCAGGGGCACGUGCCGAGCAGGUCUCCUGGUUCCCUCCCCCUGCUGCUCUCCGCCCAGGCCGCCUUCCCAUAAAGUCUUCUGCUUUGUCAGCACGUGUGUCUCCUCAGUUCACUUCCAGGGUUAGACAAGAGCCCACGCUCAGCCACUUCCAGGGGACCCUUCCUGCAACAGAUGGACAUGUUUAAGAUCACAAAACAAAGGAGCAGUGGAGCAGCCGCACCAGAGCAGUGCUCGCAGCCACCACGUCAAUAGAGGUACACGGUAUGUUAGUCACCACCCAUUCUGCCUACACAGGGUCCUGGUAAUAAACAAUUUACUACAGCAACGCCAUCCAGCUUCUCUCCUCUCCUCCUAAAUCUUACAGCUGACUUAGAAGAGCACCUCUGGUGGAGAAACAGGAGCUGAGGAGGUUUGAGACAGAACUGGAGGCAUGGGGACAAUGCAUAUAAACAUCACCUUUGAGGAAUUCUGCUGUAAAAGGAAGCAGAGACGUGAGGUGGUGGCUGGAGUGAAACAAAAGGGAAAAGAGCAGGGCAAAACCUUUAAAAGAAUGACAGAACCCUUGAAGACAUAACAAAAACUGGUUAGAACCAACUAGGGCCAAGAUGGUAGAAAAUUCAGCUUCCAGCAGACCUCGAGCCUCAUUAUGCACUCAUUGUAAUACAUUAGCAUCUAAAUGACAGGCCCACAGGUGCCAGGACAGCUCUGAGGUGACCACUACAGGGCAAAAAAGUAGACGGGCCCAGUUCCUGGAAACCCCUGCCCUUUCCUGAAAUGGUUGGAAUAAUCCUCCUGCUCAUAGCCUGUGAAAUUGCCCAGUCCAUAAAUACCCGCCACCCUCAUAUUUCGGGGCUUCUAGCCUUCUGAGACGCCCACACACUCUCUCUCAAUAAAUCUACUUCUUACCUAUCACUUUAGCUCUCACUGAACUCCUUCUGCUCUGAGACACCGAGAACCUGAACUUCAGUAAUUCCUGAGACUAGGUGAGUGGUUUUAAUUAAAAAACUGGGUUCAGGCGUUCUUGUUGUGGCUCAGCAGGUUAAGAACCAUGAGGAUGUGCGUCCAAUCCCCGGCCUCAGUCAGUGGAUUAAGAAUCUGGCGUUGUCACAAGCUGUGGCAUAGGCCCUGGAUGUGGCUCAGAUCCUGCAUUGCUGUGGCUGUGGUGUAGGCCUGAGAACUUCCACAUGCCGCAGGGUUGGCCCUAAAAAGAAAAAAGAAAAAAACAAAAAAACAUGGGUUCAGGUCCCAAUCUGAGUUGUGCAGUUUCAGUAGGGCUCAGUGGUCAUGACUCUGUUGUUUGUCUUUCCAAAUAGGAGCUAUUACAGCUGUCUGUAAACUGAUGGGGCGAGACCAAUGACUCUAGGCACAAGGGCAGAGCUGCUCCAGGCAAAAGCCAUGAGGCUGCCAUGGCACCAUGACCACAGGCUAAAGCUAUCAGCGGCCUGACAGCUGAGAUGCUGGGAGAGCACAGACAUUCUCUCCUGACUGCUCCUUUCCCAGUCAAAUAAGAGAGCGUUACCCCCUGGGGAGGAGAGGUGUCCCUGGAAGGGGCAUGCGUUUGCCACACAUUCCUGUCCUGCAAGUGAGAACUGACAGAAAGCCCACAAAGAGCAAACCCAUGGCGACUCCCUGAAGGUAAACGUUUCGCAGGGACUAUUUCACAGCUGCUGGGCUGUGCUCUGACUUGCCCGCCUCACUCUGGGUGGGCCCAGUUCACUGAAAACAAGGAUGCCUGGGCUGGAACUUGGAAGUCGGGUGCCAGACAGUUAUUGACAAUUCUAGUCCCAGGGGCAGGGUAACCUGAGAAGAGCAGAUAGUGUUCUUGUGGCUGUGGAACCACCUGAAGGCCAAGCAAGUGCUACACACCUCUGCAGUGCUUUAGCUUUGUAAGACAACCACUGUUAAGGAUGUUUAGGAGUUCCCUGAAAACCAAGCUCCCCUGCCAAGUUUAUGAUUAACCUUUCUCACCAGAACUUCAUUUUCCUUCUGGUCCUGCCCCACUCCCCUCAGAACUGAGACACAUCAGAGAAGGAGCUGAAACCAAGCAAGACCUCGCUGGACCCUCCCAGUAGUAAAGCCCCUCAACCCCUGUCCCCUAGUUCUUGCCUGUAGAAAAAUGCCUCAGUCUCCCAGGCCUCUGGGGGGGUUCCAAAAAGCAGACUCAGGCAGUUACUAAUUGGGGAAAUGAGGGAUGCAGGGAAAAAAAGGGACAACGCAGUCAAGCAAGAAAAGCACUGACAGCUUUAACAAAAAUGAUGAAAUGGAGUCCUAGUUCCCCCUCAAGGGAUUAUACCUAACAAUUUCUGAGUUGUUUUACAGGAGCUGAGAUCCCCACAGGUGGAGGAUGGGGACUACCUAAGCACAGGGACCCUAGACCAGUUGGAACCAGAAGGCUGACAAUUAAGAUUCCCGAGAUGUCACCUUGUCACCUCACCACCAACCAACUGGAAGAAAGCCCACAGGCUGCAACCCUCACCCCAGAUGUUGCCUUUAAAACCUUUCCCUGAAAGCCACUGGAGAGUUCAGGUUUUUUGAGCAUGAGCUGCUGGUUCUACAAAUAAACACUGCACCUUCCUUCACCACAACCCAGCGUCAGCAGAUUGGCUUUUUUUUUUUUUUGUCUUUUUGCUAUUUCUUUGGGCCGCUCCCGCGGCAUAUGGAAGUUCCUAGGCUAGGGGUUGAAUCGGAGCUGUAGCCACCGGCCUCCGCCAGAGCCACAGCAAUGCGGGAUCCGAGCCGCAUCUGCAACCUACACCACAGCUCACGGCAACACUGGAUCGUUAACCCACUGAGCAAGGGCAGGGACCGAACCCGCAACCUCAUGGUUCCUAGUCGGAUUCGUUAACCACUGCGCCACGACGGGAACUCCCCAGAUUGGCUUUUAACGUGCUGCAGAUGGGCAGACUCAAGUUCGGUUGGGUAGCAAGGACACUGUAGAUUACACUACUUGAUGAUCCCAAGAGGCAUUUUUUUUUUUUUUUAGGGCCACGCCUGCAGCAUAUGGAAGUUCUCAGGCUAGGGGUCAAAUCAGAGCUGCAGCUGCCAGCCUAUGCCACAGCCACAGCCACACUGGAUCCGAGCUGCGUCUGUGACUUACACCACAGUUCAUGACAACACCGAAUCCUUAACCCACUGAUCGAGGCCAGGGAUGAAACCCGAAUCCUCACAGAUACUAGUCGGGUUCGUUACCACUGAGCCACAACGGUACUUUUUAAAAAAAAUAUAAUAACAGGAAAAUUUCCCUCUGAAGAAUUUAUAUGCUUCUUUUAUUCUAAUAAAUAUUAUUCAUCAGUAUGAAGUGUCUAAGUUAUCAUAAAACAACUCAAAAAUGGAGGUUGCUCACUGAGAAUUAUGAAGUCAACAUAUAAUUAAUUCUCUAGAACAAGGACCUGCAGAAGGCAUCUUAAAGGGGCAGAACAGUUUUUUAACAAAACAUUAAUCUGACUGAAGCUGUAUUAAUCCACAUUGAAGUAUUCACACAUGCAAAGACUGUAUAAAAACAAAAGAAAAAGGGUUCGUCAGCUGCAUAGACUGGAAAAAGAGGCACGGAAGCAAAUUAUGUGGUACCAAUGCAAGAACAGACCAGGCUGGCAGUGCUGCAGCCACCGAACUGGCAGCGGGCCUCAACCACGAAGGCUAUUCCCUUAGCUUGGGUUACGAAUGGGACUGAAAAUGCAUCCGAUGCUCAAAGUGGCUCGUACUUUAAGAGCGAAGCCUCCCUUUCUCAUAAGCCCACACACACUGGCAGAUACCACCAGCUCUACUGUGAAGGCUGCUGGAGCAGAUCUAGGAGGUGAUGUGAGACCAUCAGUGACAAGGGAACACAGUGUCACUUUCAAUACCUCAAACAUGGGAGAAAGUCACAAGGGAAGGCAACUGGUCUUUUCUGCAGAAGAGGUGCCGUGUGGAGGACAGACCUCCUGAGGCAGGACCCCCCGCUUGUCUCUGUGAAGAACACCAGCAUCCAAGCAGAGGCUGGCCACUGCCCGGUGCAGGUUCCUGAGUCAGAAAUAAGGCCACAGCAAAUAUUUUCCAACGAAACAAAGGCGACAAGGAAUAAGACUUUAUUAGCAUGCUUAAAACAAGGUAUCAGUUAUUGAUUCAGGAUUCUUUCUGAUUACAUGAGUUACCCGGGUUGUGAGAAUUCAUGGAAUUCCCCUUGUGGCUCAGCGGUAAUGAAUCCAACUAGUAUCCAUGAAGAUGCCUCGCUUGGUGGGUUAAGCAUCUGGCAUUGCUGCAAACGGUGGUAUAGGUCACAGAUGCGGCUUAGACCCCAAGUUGCUGUGGCUGUGGUAUAGGCCGGAAGCUGCAGUUUGGACUCCACCCCUGGCCCAGGAACUUCCAUAUGCCACAGGUGUGCCCCUAAAAAGAAAAAAAACCAAAAAAACAAAACAGAUAUCAGUUAUUGAUUCAAGGUUCUUUUUCUGGUUACACAAGUCACCCAGAGUUGUGAGAAUGCAUGGAACUUUACACUUUCGAUACACACAUUUUUCUGCAUAUAUACCACAUUUCAAUGAAAGUUAAAAAUAACAGAAGGAAAAUGUUAGAAAGCAUUAACCCAAAGUGAACAGUGCUGAAAUUCUGCUAUUAUAAUAGAUUUUGUACUUAUUCUAUCUACAAGAGAACAAGCCCAAACAAAAAGAUAAGAUGACCUCUUUAAAACACUGUGAAAAGAGGAAGCUUUAAAAGUUGGUCGGGGAGUUCCCAUCAUGGCUCAGCAGUAAUGGACCCAACUAGUAUCCACGAGGAUUCGGGUUUGAUCCCGGGCCUUACUCAGUGGAUUAAGGAUCUGGUAUUACUGUGAACUGCGGUGUAGGUCGCAGACGAGACUCCAACCCCAUAUUGCUGUGGCUGUGGCGCAGGAUGGCAGCUACAGCUCCAAUAUGACCCCUAGCCUGGGAACUUCCAUGUGUCGUUAGUUCAGCCCUUAAAAAAAAAAAAAAAAAAAAAAA